rnacentral:rRNA from 1 species
UAAGGGCGCACGGUGGAUGCCUUGGCACUAGAAGCCGAUGAAGGACGUUACUAACGACGAUAUGCUUUGGGGAGCUGUAAGUAAGCUUUGAUCCAGAGAUUUCCGAAUGGGGAAACCCAGCAUGAGUUAUGUCAUGUUAUCGAUAUGUGAAUACAUAGCAUAUCAGAAGGCACACCCGGAGAACUGAAACAUCUUAGUACCCGGAGGAAGAGAAAGAAAAUUCGAUUCCCUUAGUAGCGGCGAGCGAAACGGGAAGAGCCCAAACCAACAAGCUUGCUUGUUGGGGUUGUAGGACACUCUAUACGGAGUUACAAAGGACGACAUUAGACGAAUCAUCUGGAAAGAUGAAUCAAAGAAGGUAAUAAUCCUGUAGUCGAAAAUGUUGUCUCUCUUGAGUGGAUCCUGAGUACGACGGAGCACGUGAAAUUCCGUCGGAAUCUGGGAGGACCAUCUCCUAAGGCUAAAUACUCUCUAGUGACCGAUAGUGAACCAGUACCGUGAGGGAAAGGUGAAAAGCACCCCGGAAGGGGAGUGAAAUAGAACCUGAAACCGUGUGCUUA